ensembl:lncRNA
UUGCUAUUAAAACUGCUGCAAUUCUGCAAUUCAUGUCUUUUGUAAUGUUGCUGGAAUUAUGUUUGUUGCUCUUGAGGGUGGGAUGUGGCAAAAGGCAUUUUAGAGUUUUGAUCAGAAACAGUCUUUCUGAGGUGGAUGCUGAGUAUACACCGGACUGGAGGAUUUAGGCUGUUAUGUGGGAAUGCAGAUAAGGUGCUACAGCAGAGCUGGGCAUAAGGAAAAUAUCUUUGUGGCUUGAUUUUUAAAUCUUGUUUUAGUACUGUAAAAGAAUAUUUUAAUGUCUCUGCAUAAUUUUUAAGUCUUUUAUAAGUUGCUGGAGCCUGUCCCAGUGUUGUUGAUGCUUGUUAUUAUCUGUAUAGAUGACUCUUUAUCCAGUUUCCUUGAGUGGGUUUUCAGUGUGUUUAAUACACAUGGUUACAGUUACUGCCUUCUCAUAACAUGUUGGUAGAUGCAUCUUAAAGUAUCAGUUGGACAGCACUAUUACCUAGUGAAGCUCAACAGAUUUGAGCAAGAAAAACAUUAUUUCUUGUAUAAUGAAUGACUGCUACCUAAGAAGGAAACUGGUAUGGUAAAGGAAAUACUUGCCUCAAAGUGAAGUAUAACAUUCAAAUGUUAUAUAUUGGAAUAUUGUGUUACCAAGAGAGCUGAAGAUUCAAGUCCUAUUAAAUUGCAUUUCAGUAUGGAUGAUUUUCACUAAUAUUCAAUGCAACUAUAAAUUCGUAUCCUUGUCCUGAUACAUGAAAGUUAUGCAAGAUAAAUCUUCGGUACUUGACAGGAUGCAUAUAACAUUAAAUAAAUAAAUAAAAUUUCAAACAGCUGAAUUAUCUUAAAAUUACUGCUAAAAAUGCUUUCUACGUUUGUUCUUAAAACAACCUUCUCUCCUCCAGAAUAACAUGCCUACAGUAGUUAAUUUUUAAGGAAGCUAGAUUUAAGAUGUAUUAAAAACAUUAAUUAGUAGUGUUCUAAUCUGUUCUGACUUUCAUAGUUUUUUGUUUUUUUUUUUAAUAAAUACAACAUUU